ACUCAAAUGAAUUGACGGGGGCCCGCACAAGCGGUGGAGCAUGUGGCUUAAUUCGAUGCAACGCGAAGAACCUUACCUAGGCUUGACAUGUACUGGACAGGGUGUGAAAGCACCUCUUCCUUCGGGACCGGUACACAGGUGCUGCAUGGCUGUCGUCAGCUCGUGUCGUGAGAUGUUCGGUUAAGUCCGUCAACGAGCGCAACCCCUGUUCCUAGUUGCCAGCGAGUAAUGUCGGGGACUUUAGGAAGACAAACUUCUUUUAGAAGUGGGAAGGUGGGGAUGAUGUCAAGUCAGCAUGGCCCUUAUGCCUAGGGCUGCACACGUGCUACAAUGCCUAGUACAAUAGGACGCAAUGUCGCAAGGCGGAGCAAAUCCUCAAAGCUAGGCCCAGUUCAGAUUGGAGUCUGCAACUCGACUCCAUGAAGUCGGAAUCGCUAGUAAUGGCGUAUCAGCUACGGCGCCGUGAAUACGUUCUCGGGCCUUGUACACACCGCCCGU
rnacentral:rRNA from 1 species